GCCAAGACUCCUAAAAGGAAAGAAUCACCUUAUGGAGUCUUGAGAUGGACGACUAGGGCUUAUGUGGAUGAUGGAGCUAUUUAUGGUAAGUGGCAAAGAUGGUCAGAUGGGAACACUAGGGUUGGCGCCACUUGAGUUUAGGGUUUAGUGUUGGGAAGAGGAUGAUAGACGGCUAGGGUUUAGGAUUAGGGUUUUGGACUUAGGGCAAGAGUGUUGGAUACGAAAAAUGGAAUUGG